AAUGCUGACCAUUUGCCCCUCACAGAAUGCUGACCAUGGACAUUUGCCCCUCACAGAAUGCUGACCAUGGUCCUUUGCCCAUCACAAAGAUAACGCACCGAGUCCCACAUCCUUUUUUGUUUUGAUCAUAUGUAUUUUGCUGGAGCUAAACAAAAUCAAGUGUGUCUAAAACAAAUCCAAAUAGUGGAAAUGCCGGGAUGUUAUUUUAAAGGAGCAAUUAAUUAUUCGGAGCAGUUUGCAUCACAAUUUUUUUUUAAUCGAAGAGACCCGGUGGGAAGGGGCGUUAAACAUUGUGCUGAUUGCUUCAACCGAAACGAGCCGAGCUUCGGGAGCCAUCUUCAGGCAGAGGUCUUGAAAAACACGAGGAAUAUAAAUUUCAGAGUCAAAGAGCCCUUGGAACCACAUAUAAGCCUAAUGAUGCAGA